UAUUUGACACAAACAGUGCAUAAUUUUUUUUAUUAUAAAAUGAUCCAACCAUUUUCCAUUGGUUACAUACAAAUGAGAAAAAAUAUGGCUGCAAUUAUCAAGUUUGUGUAUGCUAUCAUCCUAUUUAUUUCUCUACUUUUUGUUGUAACUGAGGCCUUUCAAGAAGAUAUCCUAAACAAAAAUUGCACAAAUGUCUUUGAAUAUCAAUAUCCUUGUGUUGGAGCUGCACAUAUAGUAUGCAUUGAUGGUCAUUGUUAUUGUUGUGGAGCAUAAGCAUAUAUAUAAGCAAGGGUUACUUUUACCUUUGAUUGCUAUAUAAAUACAUAUAUGGAGAAUAAGCAAUAAAACAUAAGCAUAUAGCAAGGAUUAUUACUUAUUACCUUAGCUUGCUUUUAUAAUAUAAUAUAUAUGGAGAAUAAGCAAUAAAUAAAGAUAAAUGAUUAUGUAAAAUCAUUAUUCUAUUAAGUUUUUUGUUAUAUGUAUUGCACUCUUUUUUUUUUU